CUUGCACAGGUGCUGCAUGGCUGUCGUCAGCUCGUGUCGUGAGAUGUUCGGUUAAGUCCGCUAACGAGCGCAACCCUCGUCGUGUGUUAUACGUGUCACACGAUACUGCCGGUAUCAAAGCCGGAGGAAGUGGGGAUGAUGGUCAAGUCAGCAUGGCCUUUAUAUCCUGGGCUACACACACGCUACAAUGGCAGAUACAAUAGGUCGCUAAACCGCGAGGUGGAGGCCAAUCCUCAAAGUCUGUCUCAGUUCAGAUUGUAGGCUGCAACUCGCCUGCAUGAAGUCGGAGUUGCUAGUAAACGCAGGUCAGCUAUACUGCGUUGAAUACGUUCCCGGGGUUU
rnacentral:rRNA from 1 species